rnacentral:rRNA from 1 species
UACGAAGGGGGCUAGCGUUGCUCGGAAUCACUGGGCGUAAAGGGUGCGUAGGCGGGUCUUUAAGUCAGGGGUGAAAUCCUGGAGCUCAACUCCAGAACUGCCUUUGAUACUGAAGAUCUUGAGUUCGGGAGAGGUGAGUGGAACUGCGAGUGUAGAGGUGAAAAUUCGUAGAUAUUCGCAAGAACACCAGUGGCGAAGGCGGCUCACUGGCCCGAUACUGACGCUGAGGCACGAAAGCGUGGGGAGCAAACA